UUCCCCUAGUAACGGCGAGUGAAGAGGGAAAAGCUCAAAUUUGAAAUCUGGCGGCCUACGGUCGUCCGAGUUGUAAUCUAGAGAAGUGUUUUCCGUGCUGGACCGUGUACAAGUCCUUUGGAACAAGGCGUCAUAGAGGGUGAGAAUCCCGUCUACGACACGGACUCCCAGUGCUUUGUGAUACACUCUCAACGAGUCGAGUUGUUUGGGAAUGCAGCUCAAAAUGGGUGGUAAAUUCCAUCUAAAGCUAAAUAUGGGCGAAAGACCGAUAGCGAACAAGUACCGUGAGGGAAAGAUGAAAAGCACUUUGGAAAGAGAGUUAAACAGUACGUGAAAUUGUUGAAAGGGAAACGCUUGAAGUCAGUCGCGUCUUCAGAAACUCAGCCUGGCUUCUGCCUGGUGUACUUUUCUGUGGGACGGGCCAGCAUCAGUUUCGGCCGCCAGAAAAAGGUGGGAGGAAGGUGGCACCUCCGGGUGUGUUAUAGCCUCCUAUCGUAUGUGGCGGCGGGGACUGAGGACUGCAGCACGCCUUUAUGGCCGGGGUUCGCCCACGUAACGUGCUUAGGAUGCUGGCGUAAUGGCUUUAAACGACCCGUCUUGAAACACGGACCAAGGAGUCUAACAUGCCUGCGAGUAUUUGGGUGGCAAACCCAUAUGCGGAAUGAAAGUGAACAGUUGGGACUUCUGUCAUGGAAGGCACCGACGCCCGGACCAGACCUAUUGUGACGGAUCCGAGGUAGAGCAUGUAUGUUGGGACCCGAAAGAUGGUGAACUAUGCCUGAGUAGGGUGAAGCCAGAGGAAACUCUGGUGGAGGCUCGUAGCGAUUCUGACGUGCAAAUCGAUCGUCGAACUUGGGUAUAGGGGCGAAAGACU
rnacentral:rRNA from 1 species